rnacentral:rRNA from 1 species
UACAGAGGGGGCAAGCGUUGUUCGGAAUUACUGGGCGUAAAGGGCGCGUAGGCGGCCUCUUAAGUCGAACGUGAAAUCCCCGGGUUCAACCCGGGAACUGCGUCCGAUACUGGCAGGCUUGAAUCCGGGAGAGGGAUGUGGAAUUCCAGGUGUAGCGGUGAAAUGCGUAGAUAUCUGGAGGAACACCGGUGGCGAAGGCGGCAUCCUGGACCGGCAUUGACGCUGAGGCGCGAAAGCUAGGGGAGCAAACGGG